rnacentral:rRNA from 1 species
UGCGCGGCGAAAAACCUUUACACACAGUGUUUUUUGUUAUUACAAGAACUUUUGCUUUGGUCUGGACUAGAAAUAGUUUGGGCCAGAGGUUUACUGAACUAAACUUCAAUAUUUAUAUUGAAUUGUUAUUUAUUUAAUUGUCAAUUUGUUGAUUAAAUUCAAAAAAUCUUCAAAACUUUCAACAACGGAUCUCUUGGUUCUCGCAUCGAUGAAGAACGCAGCGAAAUGCGAUAAGUAAUAUGAAUUGCAGAUUUUCGUGAAUCAUCGAAUCUUUGAACGCACAUUGCGCCCUCUGGUAUUCCAGAGGGCAUGCCUGUUUGAGCGUCAUUUCUCUCUCAAACCUUCGGGUUUGGUAUUGAGUGAUACUCUUAGUCGAACUAGGCGUUUGCUUGAAAUGUAUUGGCAUGAGUGGUACUGGAUAGUGCUAUAUGACUUUCAAUGUAUUAGGUUUAUCCAACUCGUUGAAUAGUUUAAUGGUAUAUUUCUCGGUAUUCUAGGCUCGGCCUUACAAUAUAACAAACAAGUUUGACCUCAAAUCAGGUAGGAUUACCCGCUGAACUUAAGCAUAUCAA